CUACGGGGGGCUCCAGUGGGGAAUAUUGGACAAUGGGGGAAACCCUGACCCAGCAAUGCCGCGUGUGUGAAGAAGGCCUGCGGGUUGUAAAGCACUUUCGGUUGGGAGGACUGCUUCUAGCACUAAUAUUGUUGGAAGUUGACGUUACCUUCAGAAGAAGCACCGGCUAACUCCGUGCCAGCAGCCGCGGUAAUACGGAGGGUGCAAGCGUUAAUCGGAAUUACUGGGCGUAAAGCGCGCGUAGGCGGCUAGAUCAGUCGGGUGUGAAAGCCCCGGGCUUAACCUGGGAACUGCAUCCGAUACUGGCUAGCUUGAGUACAGGAGAGGAGAGUGGAAUUCCACAUGUAGCGGUGAAAUGCGUAGAUAUGUGGAGGAACACCAAUGGCGAAGGCAGCUCUCUGGCCUGAUACUGACGCUGAGUUGCGAAAGCGUGGGGAGCAAACAGGAUUAGAUACCCCCGUAGUC
rnacentral:rRNA from 1 species